rnacentral:lncRNA from 1 species
CCCCUCUCCCUGAGUUGUCACUAGAGCCCGUGAUUGCUUGGGCCACCUACCUAACCAUCUGGAAAUACUCCGGCCUUGGGACAGUGGUUGUCAACACUUACAGUUACUCAUCAGGUGGUCAGGGAACAAUUUGGUGGCAUCAAACAACAAGAACUGGGUAUGGAUCCAGAAAGUGCCAGGAGCGAUAUGUCAGUGGGAAACCGUACAUCCUGGGUGCCAGAGGGGCCUGGGGCUAGGGCUCACAGACUCCUGGCUGCAGCCCUAGCAGAUGGGUGGUGAAGCUGAGCUCUCCUGCCUAGGGCUAUGCUGAGUCUCCCCAGGAGGAGAGCUCCGACCGGAAAAGUAAAGCAAAGCUGGACACUAGACUGGUGUACAAAUGCCUACAGCCCUGCCUAAGGUGCUUGGUGUGUCCUGACAGAAAGAAUCCAGAGCCAGGAAUCUUCCAGAAGGACCCUGGACCUGGCAGAACCACCAAGGCAUGCUCCAGUUCCACGUCAUACAGAGAAGAGAAAAACUCACCUCCCGGGAUUUCUAGAGGGGUGAAAAAGUUAUGACUGGUGAUCCCCCGAAGAACCACUAAGCCUUUGGAAAAAUGAAAAUGUGAGUCAGAACACACCCUUUCUGGUGAAAGCCUCAUCUGCCAGAAGCAAGCCUCUCCCUGUCAGCCACUCACCAUCUCCAAGACAGCUCAGGGCUCAGAACCAUCCGGACAACUGAUGAACCCCAUCUUCAAGCAAAGGUGUGGAAGCAGUGUGGAUAAUGGAGGAUAACGGCAAAAAUACAACCAUUUUGACUGCUCUUUGUCUUUGGGUCUCCUGAAGUUUCCAAGUCAUUGUGAUGAAAAUUAUUAAAGGUCUGCCCAAGAACGGAGACGUUCCCUGAUUUGUCAGAUCCUAAGACAAGGAUGCA